CGACAGGAGAUGAAGAGAAAGUUUGGUGUCAAAAGACAAAGAAUUGUGGACCAUGUGCCUCUGGAGGACCCACCUGGACAUCAGAGAGCAAAAAAGUGCAGAGUGGGGGUCCAGAUGUCUUCUGAUUAUGAGCCAACACAAGAGAUUAUGUUGGACCUUGAAGCAGUUGGGGAGGACUACCACAGCUUUUAAGAGCAUAUAAACGCCAUAAACAAUUAGUUGUGCCGUCGUCAGCCAGAUAUUAGUCAUAUAAUGGACAGGACGAGGCAAACUGUCUAUAAGAGGGUAGAGCAAAUGGGAAAGCCAACUGAGGAGGUGAUGGAGAUGUUCCCAUUUCUUUGGGUGUCAGAGCUGAUGCAUCAUGAAAUGAAGUUGCGGUUCGGACUGGACUUAGAGCUAAGCCUGCAUAACACCCUCAGUAUAUUGACCCCUAACGUCAUCAGAGUGGCUGACAGUAGGAGUCAGAGGGAGAGGCUGUCAAGCCUACGAGACACUAACACAGAUGACCUUCAAAAAAGUGCUGCUGUCCUAAUUUUGCCUGCCCUUUUCAAGGAGGAUGCCAAGUUUCUGUAGUGUUUAGACAAGAAACCACUGAGCGUGUUUCCAACCAUCAUCUUCCAGGGUGGCGAUACUCCCCUCUUUGCCAGGAGAGCAUCCAUAAAGAUGGAUGGCAUCACAAUAGCAAGUGGAGAGAUGGAUGCCCUCCAAUGCCUGCUGUAUUACAUCUUUGGUGUGGAGUACCACAUGCAGAUUAAGGACACACUGGCUUUUACAGAGCAUUAUUUGUUCAAGAUACCAAGUCAAAAAAGAGUGUCGACUCCUGUUUUGAGACUUUACAAUCAAAUUUGCUAGUCUUCGUUAAUAUUACCUUUUAUUAUAUUAUGUAUUUAAUAAAUUUGCUUGAUUAUGUCUAAA